CGUGUAGGCGGUUCUGCAAGUCAGAUGUGAAAUUUUCGGGCUUAACCCGGAAGCUGCAUCUGAAACUGCAGAACUUGAGUACUGGAGAGGAUAGUGGAAUUCCUAGUGUAGCGGUAAAAUGCGUAGAUAUUAGGAGGAACACCAGUGGCGAAGGCGACUAUCUGGACAGUAACUGACGCUGAGGCGCGAAAGCGUGGGGAGCAAACAG
rnacentral:rRNA from 2 species